CCUUUGUACACACCGCCCGUCGCUACUACCGAUUGAAUGGCUUAGUGAGGCCUUCGGAUCGGAUAUGAGGACUGGAAACAGACCCCGUGUCUGAGAAGUUGGUCAAACUUGGUCAUUUAGAGG
rnacentral:rRNA from 1 species